rnacentral:rRNA from 1 species
UACAGAGACUGCAAGCGUUAUUCGGAUUCACUGGGCGUAAAGGGUGCGCAGGCGGCCAGGUGUGUCAGGUGUGAAAGCCCGGAGCUUAGCUCCGGAAUUGCGCCUGAAACUACUUGGCUAGAGCAUUGGAGAGGGUAGCGGAAUUCACGGUGUAGCAGUGAAAUGCGUAGAUAUCGUGAGGAACACCAGAGGCGAAGGCGGCUACCUGGACAAUUGCUGACGCUCAGGCACGAAAGCGUGGGGAGCAAAAGGG